rnacentral:snRNA from 1 species
GGAUGUGAGGGCGAUCUGGCUGCGACAUCUGUCACCCCAUUGAUCGCCAGGGUUGAUUCGGCUGAUCUGGCUGUCUAGGCGGGUGUCCCCUUCCUCCCUCAACAAUCCAUGUGUGUCCCUCCCGAAGGGUUGCCAAAAGCGAAACUGUGCUUUCCAUCACAAGAGAAGUCGCUACCUCCAGGGCCUGUUCCUGCCCCCAAGCAAAACC